rnacentral:rRNA from 1 species
GAUGAACGCUGGCGGCGUGCUUAACACAUGCAAGUCGAGCGAAGCAUUUGCAGUUGAUUUCUUCGGAAUGAUUCUGUUUAUGACUGAGCGGCGACGGGUGAGUAACGCGUGGGGAACCUGCCUCAUACAGGGGGAUAACAGUUAGAAAUGACUGCUAAUACCGCAUAAGCGCACAGUGCCGCAUGGCGCUGUGUGAAAAACUCCGGUGGUAUGAGAUGGACCCGCGUCUGAUUAGCUGGUUGGUGAGGUAACGGCCCACCAAGGCGACGAUCAGUAGCCGACCUGAGAGGGUGAUCGGCCACAUUGGGACUGAGACACGGCCCAA